rnacentral:rRNA from 1 species
GUCGUGACUGCGUGCCUUUUGAAGAAUGAGCCUGCGAGUUUGCGGUGUGUUGCGAGGUUAACCCGUGUGGGGGAGCCGUAGCGAAAGCGAGUCCGAAUAGGGCGGUAUAGUAGCGCGCUCAAGACCCGAAGCGGAGUGAUCUAGCCAUGGGCAGGCUGAAGCGCGGGUAAGACCGUGUGGAGGGCCGAACCCACCAGGGUUGAAAACCUGGGGGAUGACCUGUGGUUAGGGGUGAAAGGCCAAUCAAACUCCGUGAUAGCUGGUUCUCCCCGAAAUGCAUUUAGGUGCAGCGUCGUGUGUUUCUUGCCGGAGGUAGAGCACUGGAUAGGCGAUGGGCCCUACCGGGUUACUGACCUUAGCCAAACUCCGAAUGCCGGUAAGUGAGAGCGCGGCAGUGAGACUGUGGGGGAUAAGCUCCAUGGUCGAGAGGGAAACAGCCCAGAGCAUCGACUAAGGCCCCUAAGCGUACGCUAAGUGGGAAAGGAUGUGGAGUCGCAGAGACAACCAGGAGGUUGGCUUAGAAGCAGCCACCCUUGAAAGAGUGCGUAAUAGCUCACUGGUCAAGUGAUUCCGCGCCGACAAUGUAGCGGGGCUCAAGCGUACCGCCGAAGUCGUGUCAUUGCAG